UACGGAGGGUGCAAGCGUUAUCCGGAUUCACUGGGUUUAAAGGGUGCGUAGGUGGGUUGGUAAGUCAGUGGUGAAAUCUCCAGGCUUAACUUGGAAACUGCCAUUGAUACUAUCAAUCUUGAAUACCGUGGAGAUCAGCGGAAUAUGUCAUGUAGCGGUGAAAUGCUUAGAUAUGACAUAGAACACCAAUUGCGAAGGCAGCUGGUUACACGAAUAUUGACACUGAUGCACGAAAGCGUGGGGAUCAAACAGG
rnacentral:rRNA from 1 species